rfam:Schistosoma curassoni strain Dakar, Senegal genome assembly, scaffold: SCTD_scaffold0002509
CUCUAGCUGACGAGUCCCAAAUAGGACAAAAAGCGCAUCAAACUGGAU